UGUCGUCAGCUCGUGUCGUGAGAUGUUGGGUUAAGUCCCGCAACGAGCGCAACCCUCGUUCUAUGUUGCCAGCACGUUAUGGUGGGGACUCAUAGGAGACUGCCGGGGUCAACUCGGAGGAAGGUGGGGAUGACGUCAAGUCAUCAUGCCCCUUAUGUCCAGGGCUUCACGCAUGCUACAAUGGCCGGUACAAAGGGCUGCGAUACCGCGAGGUGGAGCGAAUCCCAAAAAGCCGGUCUCAGUUCGGAUUGGGGUCUGCAACUCGACCCCAUGAAUUCGGAGUCGCUAGUAAUCGCACAUCAGCAACGCUGCGGUGAAUACGUUCCCGGGCCUUGUACACACCGCCCGUCACGUCACGAAAGUCGGCAACACCCGAAGCCGGUGGCCCAACCCUUGUGGAGGGAGCCGUCGAAGGUGGGGCUGGCGAUUGGGACGAAGUCGAAACAAGG
rnacentral:rRNA from 1 species